AAACAACAACAAAGUCCAAUGCAGCUUGCCUGCACUAGCUGGAGUUACAACUGACUAAUGUAUCGUCGACGUUACCAUUUCCAAAGUCGACUCUCAUAUGAAAUUCUAUCAAUGAGAUCAGGCCUUAUUUGGUAAGAUUUUUAAUGAUACCAAGCUAAAUACCACGACAACGCAAAUAUGACGAAUUACAAUCGUUAUUACAACCAUGAACUUUACGAUAAAGUUCACAACUAUCUCUCAUCCAAGGAAAAUAAACCUUCGACGCCAUCACAUGUUUCAUUUCUUGGUUUCCAGUAUUUUGAUCUCCCACCUGCCCCCAAACAUAAAUAUGAUGAAGUUCAUUCAAGAAUUUUUCUAGGAGAUGGUGUGGUAGCUCAAGACAAAGAACAACUAACAUCAAUGGGUAUAACACACCUGGUCAACUGUUGUGAAGGUACCAAGUUUAAUCAGGUGAAUACCAAUCAGGCUUACUACGACGAUAUCAACAUAAAAUAUCACGGUAUCCAGGCCCAGGAUGUAGCUGCUUU